AAGGCUAAACACAUUUUUUCCAUUAUAUUGCACAAUUUUCAUUUCUCAAUGCACAUUAAUGUUCAUUUCAUCAUUAUAGCCAUGCCAUGCUUACAUAAGGUUAUGACAAAUUUUCCUCAAUUAUUAAUUACCAAACUUAAUAUAUUUUAACAUUAAUUAAUAAAGUAUAAAUGGUAGGUCCCUGUAGAAUGUACCUUAAAUCAUGAAUAUGGAGAAAAGCUUUUCUUCCUUCUUCAAUCUCCAAGGCCUCCUCUUUCUCAUAUAAUAAACACAAUAAUAAAUUUAUGAAAUAACCACAAAUAAAAUAACCAUAUUCAUGCCUCAAUAAUAUAAAGAGCGUGAAAGACAAAAUGAGUGUGAUGAAAUGAUAAAACACAUAAACUCUUACCAUGGAUGACACUUUCUUUCACUAUAGUUCCCCUUCUCUCGACACAAGCCAAGGCUUAGUCUCAGGUGAUGGAGAUGAUGAAUGAAAAUCGCUCAAAUAAGGUUUCUUUAAAAUGGGUCUAGGAUAACUAAAGAAAUUUUAUGGAAGUUUGAGUGGAGAAUGGACAAAAAUAGCAAACAAAUGAACGAGAUAAUCUCUCUCUUGCAAGAGGGGGGGACGGC
rnacentral:lncRNA from 1 species